rnacentral:rRNA from 1 species
GAGUCAUUGGGACUAAAUUAAACCUAAAGGCGCAAUGAAAGUAAAGGUCCGCCUCGCGCGGACCUAGGGAGGAUGCGCCCGGCCACGGUCGGGCACCGCACUCCCGGGGCGUCUCGUUCUCAUAGCGAGAAGAGGCGCACCCAGAGCGUACACGCUGGGACCCGAAAGAUGGUGAACUAUGCCUGGUCAGGACGAAGUCAGGGGAAACCCUGAUGGAGGUCCGUAGCGAUUCUGACGUGCAAAUCGAUCGUCGGAACUGGGUAUAGGGGCGAAAGACUAAUCGAACCUUCUAGUAGCUGGUUCCCUCCGAAGUUUCCCUCAGGAUAGCUGGCGCUCGCCUUUGCGAGUCUCAUUCGGUAAAGCGAAUGAUUAGAGGCAUUGGGGUCGAAACGGCCUCAACCUAUUCUCAAACUUUAAAUGGGUGAGAUCUCCGGCUUGCUUGAACGGUGAAGCCGCGAGAGAUCAUCGGAUCACAGAGUGCCAAGUGGGCCACUUUUGGUAAGCAGAACUGGCGCUGUGGGAUGAACCAAACGCCGAGUUAAAGCGCCUAAAUCGACGCUUAUGGGAUACCAUGAAAGGCG